GAAAUUACUACGCCAAUGAACUUACUAGAUUGAUUUGCUUUUGAAGCAAUUUAAAACUUCCGCAGUCUGUGUUUUAUCAGACCUAAAGAUACUCGGCUUCGCCUCGUAUCUUUAUAUCUGAUAAAACACUAUGCAAAAUGUCACCACAUGCACUCCUUCAAGCUUCGUGCUAACCGCGCAGACAAAGUGAUAGAAAGGGAUUGGACCUGACCGUCUGAUUAUAGCUCUUCAAUUUCCGCCAUCUUGUUUUCACUUUUUGGACUUGCUCCAGUUAUAUAUUGAGAUCAUUGGGGUUAUCUCAUUUAUUUUGUAUCCAUGAAAGAGUAUCCAUGAAUCUAUAUAUUAAUUCGCAUGCAUGUAUUUAUUUAAAAGGCCAUGGGC